GAGGUCGCCUCCCUCCUGUCCUGCUGACUGGCACUUGCUUUCCCAUUUCUAGGGUUGCAGCUGCCACCAUGUGGAAAUGGAGUGAGCAGACACAACCCUCCAUCCAUCUGAGUGAUCCUGGAAGGACUCAUGGAAUAGUGAGACGGGGAGCGGUUCAACAGACCAUCAACGGCAGGUCUGUCUUGUCCAUUCCUCAACAAAUGCCGAAGUGCCUCAGCUGCGGCCCCACGCUCAGGUUCCAGCCAAGGCUGACUUCACUGGAGCAUGCUGCGCUCAGCAAAGACAGCGACAAGGAUCCCAUCAUUCGACCACACAGCAAUACUGGAGGAGGCAAGACCUAAUUCAUCUACAAUACUUGGCCCACUGUUUUAAUUACUGCGACAACCAAAUAAAAUCGUUAGGUAUCUAAUUGGUGACACUGGAAGUUCAGACAGCAGACAUCCUAGGACUCCCAAGCUGUAGCAGCCAUGACAGGAGAAUUUCCCAACCCGCGUCUGAGCCCCAGACUCCCAGGCCAGGUGCCAGUGAUUAUCUUCAAAGCUGGAGGCCAGCUGAGAGGAAAAGUGGCCAGUUGGGCCGUUUGAUUAAGUGUUAGUUGGAGAAUUUUCCAUGGAACAUACAUUUUGCAAUGCAGUUAAGGAGGGAGGGUAAAAAAGUGUCUCUCUCGCAAAUAUUCUAUGGGGAAAACAGCCUGUUGUAUGAAGAAUCCCGCUCCCCACAGGCUCGCCCUAAUAGACAAAACCUGAGCAUCUACAGAUGUGCAUGAGGCAUGGGCUCUGGUCUGUGCCAGAUGGUGACUAUGUUUUCCCGCCCUGGGAGAAGGCUGUCUGCAUAAGACAUCUCAUUCGGCAAUCUAUUAGGACUUCAGAGGCUUUUAGGGGUGACAAGAGCCCACAUAAGGAUUUAAGAGAGUUAAAAACAGAUGUCUGCCUCUUUUAUUCCUGGCUCUGAGUCUUUAUUGUGAGAAGGUUGCUUUAUUGGCCAUUUUUCUGUAGAGUUAAUCUCCCAUUAGAGCGGCUUAGAGCUACGGCCCAAUGGGUCUGCCACCUAUUUUUAUAAAUAAAGUUUUACCAGAACAUACACACUACCCUUACAUUUGCAUAUCACCCAUGGCCACUUCCAUGCUACAUUGCUAGAGUGGAAUUAUUGCGGCAGAGACUGCUAAGCUUAAGACAUUUACUAUCUGACCCUUUACAGAGGCCUGCCAACUCUAGACUACAGGCUAAGAGCAGGACUGGUAGGCUUCCACCCUAUCACAGCAUUCCCCCACUCACAGCCUCUGCCCAUGUUUCGCCAGAUGGAUGAGGCGCUCCCUCUCAGAACCAAAGCAGCCCAGGCACCGUGUUUUGGAAGAAUUCCAAAUUGUCAUCAUGUUGCUUGGAAGGUGGCUGGUUUCUUCUGACCCGCUCAGCAAAGGAACAGGACUGUACUGUGGGGGACCUACUCGAUGCCCAUGGCUUGAUAUAAAAUGAGAAUCCAGCAAAAGGUGCUGAGGGCUUUGGAGGCUGUGGGUGUGGCAGUCCCUGCAUGAGCAGACUCACGUGGCCGCCCUCACAGGUGCAGACACAGUAGGGCCAUGGGGUGCCCAGCAUCAAUGGGAAAGGCAAAAGAAAUGAGCUUCUUUAUCUCAUCUACCCAACAAUGACAGGUUCUGACUCAUCAACGGGCAACUGCACCCAUACUUUGGGUGGGGGUCCUUAGGGAGCCAAUAAUUUUAAAUUCAAAGUUUGGAGAGGAGGGAGCCUCUGGCUCCCAGGGAAAGCAUCUCAGCGACUGACACUAAGAAACUUUCAGAGGCCACGAGCUGAUCUUCGGUAUCUGCUUGGACUUGGCCUGGAACACUGGGUUUGUCCAGCCCAUGGGAGAACUUUCUCCAGAACUAAAGAGCUUGACCACCUCAGUGAAGGGACACAGAGGCCAGGCAGAAGUUUCUCUGCAUGCUGUUCUACUCUCUGCCUAGCACUGACACUACAACUCCCAAUUCUUCUGUAUUAAAAGGAGCACCUGCAUAUAUGCUAACUUUUCAGGAACAGCACACUGACAUCUGGCCACUUAUGUUUUUUCUGGAGCAAGAUACAAGUCCCCUAAUUAAUUAUGGAUCAAACCAUCAAUGCCUAAAAGAGGUGAGUUUCACUCUCAUAAAAGGAGCUCAGUUUUUUUAAAGGCUUUCAUGUGAAUUUUCAGAGGCUGGCAGCAUCUUUCUGCUGUGCUUAAUAGCGAAGGGUGAAUGCUUCAUUUUCUACCAAAACACGCCUUCCACGUGUGGGGAUCUCCAACGGGCGUCUGGAGCUCUUGGCUGGAGAGGCUGCCUCUGCCCCAGUGCCAGGUGCGCUGGAGAAAACAGGCAUGGGAGCACAGGAAGGAUCACAGCUGUCGCACAGGAGGCAUGGAGCUGACGGGACCUCCAGGGGCACAGGAUGGGGUCAGGAUAGGCGAGGACCUUUGGAUGGCCGGAGAUGGCAGAGCACUGAGAAAGAACAGCUUCUGCGGAGCUGCGAGGAAAAUAAAUAGAGCCAUUCGCCUUCAUCUCCUUGAGCUAGCUGUCAGACUAUAUCGACUAAUAUGGAGUCCGUCUAGUUGUGUAUGAGUCUGUGUGCAAUUGCAUGUGUGUAUUUGCAGCUUUGAUCCGGAAGCCUUCUAAAAAAGAAACUGAUGGCUGGCUGCCAUCAACACAUUUCCUUUCCUCCAGUUCUGUAUGAAACCAAGCCUGUGUGUCAAGGGUUCCCCUAAGUGUGGAGCUCCAGUUCCAGCAUCAAAGACAAAGCAUAUCAGAAAUGC